rnacentral:rRNA from 1 species
AGAGUUUGAUCCUGGCUCAGGAUGAACGCUAGCGGGAGGCCUAACACAUGCAAGCCGAGCGGUAGAUUACUUUCGGGUAAUUGAGAGCGGCGUACGGGUGCGGAACACGUGUGCAACCUGCCUUUAUCAGGGGGAUAGCCUUUCGAAAGGAAGAUUAAUACCCCAUAAUAUAUUAUUCGGCAUCGGGUGAUAUUGAAAACUACGGUGGAUAGAGAUGGGCACGCGCAAGAUUAGCUAGUUGGUGAGGUAACGGCUCACCAAGGCGACGAUCUUUAGGGGGCCUGAGAGGGUGAUCCCCCACACUGGUACUGAGACACGGACCAGACUCCUACGGGAGGCAGCAGUGAGGAAUAUUGGACAAUGGGUGGAAGCCUGAUCCAGCCAUCCCGCGUGCAGGAAGACGGCCCUAUGGGUUGUAAACUGCUUUUAUCUGGGGAUAAACCUACUUACGUGUAAGUAGCUGAAGGUACCAGAAGAAUAAGCACCGGCUAACUCCGUG